rnacentral:lncRNA from 1 species
GUCAUUGUGUGCCAUAUGGGUUGGUUGUCCUCUUAAUCAAGGAGUGUGAAGACACUGGCAUGGCAUACAGGUGAGAUGUAAGGGUACAUCUGCACUGAAUAUGACUGACUUCAGAGCUUUUUCUGCUGUCAAGAUUUGCUCUGAUGGGAUAUGGGUAUAACUGUCCCUCCGACCUGAGACUGCCACAGUGACUUGCAAGCAACUCACUGCACUUAGGUACUGGACUACCUGAAUUUUUAAUUCAGUGACGGAAGGCUGCUGGGUGUAGUCAAGUACUUGAC